rnacentral:lncRNA from 1 species
UGUGUGCAUAGAUUAGGUGAAUUUUGCCAACCAAGUCGUCUCCCUGUCAAUUCAAUUUUGACUUGCUCCACGGGCGAGUUUGCAGGGGAAGUCUUUGUGUACACGCUGCAUGUCAACUAGCCCCAGCCGACUGGGCCAGAAUACAUAGGCAGGCAUGCACAUACAUACGCAUGGGGAGCCGUAGCAAUGGCGGAGCGAGCAAGCUCAUGCAUAGUGCAUGGCCGUUAGUAUUAAAUCAUCCAUAUAAAAUUCACAAUGUCAUCCUGGGUUGGCGGCGAGCUGGGCGGCAGAUGGACCCGAGACGAGCUGCAGACAGGCUGCUGCCGACAAACCUCUCCGACCUUGCCCGGUACCUACCCAGAGACUCUGGCAACCACAUCCAUGGUAGUCGUGGGUCCGGUUACCAGGCUAACUGCUUCGGCUCAAUGCUGGGCUUCGUAUUACCGACGCUGCGGGCUAGACCUGGCCGGGGACCGCUCUCGCUGAAUGAGUUUUGGUUGCUUGCUGGAAGCGCACAGAGAGCGCGGUCAACACGGUAUUAAUUGGUGUAUGUGUACUGCUCCUGUGGUGCCCGGGCAGGCCAGGCAUGGUGAAGCGGCGAGCACGUCUUGUCUUGGAGGAUGCCUCAACAAUUCAGGGAGAACUUUGACAGUGCCAAGUACUCAGCUGAACCCCGUGCUGAGCAUAAUUGCCACGUCUUGAGAUCAUCGCUUGUGCAAGCGCACAUGAACACACACGCCUGGUCAUCUCUCUUCAAACUCAUCACGACACUACGCCAGUGGUAUCACAUUGUCUUGUGUUAUCGAGCUAUAAUUAAUUUUGUGGAGCCGGGAGUUCGUCGAGUACUGUCGGCCAGCGCACGCAGUGUCACGCGAGUUGGCAGCUCCGGACCCUAGCUAGGGGGCAGUGCGGAAGCUAGACGUUCCCCGAACCGUGGAGGACUAACUCACGUCAAUCCUCAUUGAUUUGGCCCCAAGGGGGUUAGAAAGAGGCUCACGAUAAACCAUCAUGGAGCUGCGAUGCCCACAACAGAGUUCACGGGGCAGAGCGAGCUAUGACCCGGACUGGAUGAAUGGAGGGUGACAAUCUACUCAGAGAGAAUAACACGUCGUCAUGACCGCGCAAAUAAGAUGACAAAGUUGUCUUAUGUGGACCGUUCGACCGAACAGGCUGUCACCGCACAAUACGUACACACAAGUCAACUACUGUGCGAACCGAAUAUCAAGCUAUUCUACAUGUAGAUCAAAGUCAUACCAAUGCAAGAUGAAGACAUAAAGAAAUGGCAACACGCACCUUCUGAAACGCAACAUACUUGGUGAAACUGAUAAUUUAGCUGCAGCGGCAUUGUCUGGUUCCCAGACGACUACUUAUACAAUAACGUCAUGGUCCUGACUCGUGUUAGUAAGUUCAACCACAGUAAACAUGCUGUGGUACAGUGAAUGGCCUCGGAUCCAAUGAGCUGCGAUGUAGAUCAAAACAUGUGCUUACGUAUUACACCGAAAUUAUUAUUUAGCUCCAUUCUUUCUCAUAAUCCGAUCUUCAAUGCUUUGAAAUAAAUCGAAAAUUUCUCAUUGCACUUUCAAAAUCAACCCUGAUAGGUUUCUCUGUCUUUCUCUCAGUAAAGUUGAGUAGGUCGUAUGUUUUGGAGCACAUCAAUGAAACAAAAUUAACGAAGCAACUGCAAAUUAUUUACUACUUGAUGAAUGCGCCAGAAAAACCCUGAAAAUGUACGCCGAGGUAGAGUACAACGAUUGUUCAAUAUGGCGUAUGCUGUUACAGGCAGUGAAACUAGUUGAAUUUGCACUUGUAGAGGAAAGAAAUAUGAUCAAGUUCAGUGUGGAAACA